UAUAAUUGACUGUACAAAGGUAGCAUAAUCAAUUGGUUUUUAAAUGAAAUCUGGAAUGAAAGGAUUAAUGAAAUAUAUACUGUCUCAAAUAUAUUUUAUGAAUUUAAAAUUUUAAUAAAAAUGUUAAAAUUUUUUUAUGGGACGAUAAGACCCUAUAGAAUUUUAUAUAAAUUUAUUUUUAUAAUUAAUAUAAAAUUUAAAUUUAUAUUUGAUUGGGGGGAUUAUUAAAUUUAAAGAACUUUAAUUUUUGCUAACUCAGAUUAGAGAAAAUAUUUUGAUCUUGAAUUUUAAAUUAUUAGAGUAAAUUACCUUAGGGAUAACAGCGUAAUAUUUUUUUAUAGGUCGUAUAGAAAAAAAUGUUUGCGACCUCGAUGUUGAAUUAAGAUAAAUUUUAAAUA
rnacentral:rRNA from 1 species